GGUGAAGAACGCAGCGAAAUGCGAUAAGUAAUGUGAAUUGCAGAAUUCAGUGAAUCAUCGAAUCUUUGAACGCACAUUGCGCCCGCCAGUAUUCUGGCGGGCAUGCCUGUCCGAGCGUCAUUUCAACCAUCAAGCCCCCGGGCUUGUGUUGGGGACCUGCGGCUGCCCGCAGGCCCUGAAAACCAGUGGCGGGCUCGCUGUCACACCGAGCGUAGUAGCAAUCACCUCGCUCAGGGCGUGCUGCGGGUUCCGGCCGUUAAACAGCCUUACAAAACCCAAGGUUGACCUCGGAUCAGGUAGGAAGACCCGCUGAACUUAAGCAUAUCAAUAAGCGGAGGA
rnacentral:misc_RNA from 1 species